GUUUCAUCGCUGACCCUGUCUAUGCGAUGACGGUUCUACGUCCACAACACAAGACAAGACAUACGGGCUCAUCACUGCACCCAGAUCAGUUCAACAUUCAUUGUUUCUCCCAGAGACUCUGUUCCCACCUGAAAUAAAACCAAGCUGUAGCUGAAACCACUGCCAGGAAACUGCAACAGAAACCUGGUACAGCAUCAGGUGAGCUCCUGUCUUAGUGAGGGCAGCUGAGCUCCUCCUGCUCCCCUGCAGCGCCCCCUGCAGCUCUUCCUGCUCCCCUGCAGCGCCCCCUGCAGGCGGACAGUCUGUGUGUUUCUUCAUGAAGCAGCUGCUCUUCACUUUGAUCUGAUCAUCAGCUGAGAGGCACACAGGAGAGUU